CAGUAGCCGCGGUAACACGUAGGGUGCGAGCGUUAUCCGGAAUGAUUGGGCGUAAAGCGUCUGUAGGUGGCUUUUCAAGUCCGCCGUCAAAUCCCAGGGCUCAACCCUGGACAGGCGGUGGAAACUACCAAGCUAGAGUACGGUAGGGGCAGAGGGAAUUUCCGGUGGAGCGGUGAAAUGCGUUGAGAUCGAAAAGAACACCAACGACGAAAGCACUCUGCUGGGUCGACACUGACACUGAGAGACGAAAGCUAGGGGAGCAAAUGGGAUUAGAUACCCCUGUAGUCCCUGUCUCUUAUAC
rnacentral:rRNA from 1 species